GAGAAAUACCAAAGUAAGUUGUCGUUACUUGGAAGUAACUGCCAAGGUGGCUAUGAAAGUGGCAGCGCAUCUAGUUCUGUGUUUGAUGAGCCCCAUGAUUCAAGAAUGCAUUCAUCAGACAAUUUUGUGGACCAUGAUGAGGACAAGGUUAGAUUGUUGAGAAUGGUUUAUGAACUGCAGGAUCAGCUAGAGAAAAGCUGCAAUCUAAACG
rnacentral:misc_RNA from 1 species